rnacentral:rRNA from 1 species
CACGGGUGAGUAACACGUAUCCACCUGCCGUCUACUCUUGGACAGCCUUCUGAAGGAAGAUUAAUACAAGAUGGCAUCAUGAGUCCGCAUGUUCACAUGAUUAAAGGUAUUCCGGUAGACGAUGGGGAUGCGUUCCAUUAGAUAGUAGGCGGGGUAACGGCCCACCUAGUCUUCGAUGGAUAGGGGUUCUGAGAGGAAGGUCCCCCACAUUGGAACUGAGACACGGUCCAA